GCACUGAGGGCUGCACUAAAUAACUUUGGAGUUAAGUGCAGAUGGAGUAGGACAUGAGAAGUACAGCUUGCUGAAUUGCACAGAACUCACUCUUGCUGGAUGCCUCUUGAAGAAGGAGAAAUGACUGUACUGGAAAUCUCAUCAGUUUUGAAAUCUGAAGAAAUCUUUGAUCAUUUUCACAUCAUCACUCAUCUGAAAGUUAUAUUCAGCAAUAUCUGUGAGAAGAGACUGAGCAUCUAACAUGUGGAUGAAAUUUUCAGUGUUCAAGGGCCACAGCUGCUGCUUGCUGCCUCUACAUUUCAAUGUGAAUCCCCUUAGAUGUCUUUGCCAUCACUUCUUUUCCCAGCUUGGAGUGCCUAGGCUGAGCUCAAGUGUAUGUCUGGAAAGAGAAAGAGAAAAUCCAUCAGUUUCAGUUGUGCCAGUGGAUAAACAGGUGAAAUAAAAGAACAGUAAGUGACUAAGAUGGUGGAUGGAAACUGGAAAGGAAAGGUGCCAACAAAUGCAAGUGAUAAAAAAAAUAGAAAAAUAGAUUUUGAGAGGUACUUGCAUGGCACCUCCAUUCUGUUUUUCUAAGUAUGGUUGGA
rnacentral:lncRNA from 1 species